rnacentral:rRNA from 1 species
UACGUAGGGUCCAAGCGUUAAUCGGAAUUACUGGGCGUAAAGCGUGCGCAGGCGGCUUCGCAAGUCAGACGUGAAAUCCCCGGGCUUAACCUGGGAAUGGCGUUUGAAACUACGGAGCUGGAGUGUGGCAGAGGGAGGUAGAAUUCCACGUGUAGCGGUGAAAUGCGUAGAUAUGUGGAGGAAUACCGAUGGCGAAGGCGGCGUUCUGGACUGUUACUGACACUGAGGAACGAAAGCCAGGGGAGCAAACGGG